CUCCUCCUCUUCUUCCUCCUCCUCCUCGCUGCGGGCUCCCCGGGUCGCGGGGCUGCGGGAGGCUCAGCCGGCUGCCCUCGCUGGGAGCUGGGUACCUGGCUCCAUCUCUCUUCGCUCUGUCCCGGGGCUGGGCAGAGGCAGCACCGCACUCUCUCCUGCCACCGUACGUGCGUGUCGGCUCCGCUGCCGCUCCCGCACUAAGUUUCUCGCCCCCUCGCUCUGUGCCGGGAGAGGUGUGCGGCGGAUGCUUUUAUAGUGCCCUGCCUCCCUCCCCUGCUGUCCUCCCCCCUGCUCGCUCCCCCCCUUUCCCUUCUCUCUCUCCGCAGCUCCGCCGCUUCUUGCCGUCCCCCUCCCAACCCCGAGCCCCACGGGCCGGGCACUCACUGCACCUUGCGCGGAGCUCCGGGUUGCGGGGAAUGCCGCCUCCGUGUCCCCUUGCAGGACGCACGGCUUUCCUCUUUGCUGGCUGUAGAAGUACAGCGGAACAAACGCUGUCUCUCAGGUGGGAGGCCCCCGAAUUUAAAGUGAAGUUGAGAUUGGAAAGAGAUGAAAACAGUUCAGUGGAAAUGAGGGUGAGAUGACUGCCUGCUGUGAGUCCGUGUACUGUGGUGUCCGAUCUGGAAGAGCCAAACUUCUUCCUGAGUGCUGCAGCUCAAAGAAAUAUGGAAGAGAAAGAAGGUCACCUCACCAAAAAUGGGGCGUUGGGAAUCUUUGUGGUUGUUCUUCUAUAGUUCUGACUGUGACAUGUAAAGCAAGGAUCUGUGCAACUGGGGCCUGCGUGAGUGAGCAGCAGAGGGCUGUGUGUGGCAGCUGGGAGGUCGAGCUGGUGCCAGAAUGGCCAAAAGCAGAAGGAGCGGUCCCCACCCCAAACAUUUUCAGCCUGGGAGUGACAUCCCCAGCAGUUCUGCUGCAAAGCGAGGGGGAGAUGCACUUCCAGAGUGUGGUGCCAGCUGCGACCAAGGCACAAGAUGGGGUCCUGCCUGCAGCACACUGCGCCGUUCCAGUGUGUGUGUGUGUGUGGGUCAUGGGGAGAGCGGAGCUCACAGGGUGCCUUAGACAGGUCUGGUGUGUCCGAGGGCUGCAGUCACAAGUGAGUCAGAAUGCUGGCACGUUCCAGGCAGACAGGUUGCCCUUCCAAUGGUAAUUCUUUGAACUGUCAGCUGUCAGACUGGGAAGUGGUUAAAAUAAUUGCACUGAAACACUGUUAGAGAUGAGACCAAAAGCCACAGAACCCAACCCUUCAGGUUUAAGGGUUUUUGAACCCGCUAUGAGUGCUGCGCUAGGAAGGAUCCUCACAGACAUCAGUGUCCUGAACACUCUGCUGUGCUCAGCCCCUCUGCCUCAUGAGAUCACUCCCUGACAAGCACCUGUGCUUCGAUGCACAGGGAAAUCCUACAAAGCCGUUCCACAUUACAUAAAGCCCUAACAGCCUGUGGGAUGGUCACUUUGGCUCUAAAAGAAGGUUGUAUUUUCUUUAACCCAAGCAUUCCUUGCACUAAUCAAAAUACUGAGGAGAUAAAAACACUGAUGUGCUUCAGAUGUCAUCGCUUGGACUUGGCUCUCCUGCUGCCAUCAUUGGGAUGCUGUGGCUUUGGGCAGGAAGUAGGGGGCAAGGGAAACUGGGCAGCAAAAAGGCAGAAUGGUCCUGCAGGUGUGGCAGGGCCUAUCCCUACCUACUGGCUGUUGGUGGCUCCUGGCUGUUGAGGAAAAGUGGAAACUUGGCACAUGAGUUGUGUAUUUCAGAGCUCAAUGGCACAAAUCGAUGGCCGGGGGAGACAGGAGGCCGUAAUACGAAACAGUCCAAGCGACAGCCUGGUGAGAAGCACACACAUGGAUCUGCUGCUGAGCUCUGGGUAAUGUAUGUUCUCCCUCGCCUUAUGAAAGGCUGAACCAAAAGACAUCUUUAAUCCAGAUGAGAUGGGCCCAAGCUGGUGCGCAUUUCCUCAUGGGACAUUAAGUUUUAUGCGUUGUACUGUUGUGGAAAGACAGGGAUGGAGCAGUGCUUCUAUUGGCAGUGAGUGGAUGACAGCAAGAAACCAAAGUCCCUCCCACUUGAAAAAGCAGGGACAAAAGUGGCACUUGUGUAUGGGGACAGAGCUGCGUGGCUGUAUUGGUUGGGAGCAGGAAGCCUGUUUGCCAGAGGUGCCAACUGAAAUUCACAAACACUGUUAAACUCAUAUAUGACUUCAUUGAUGAACUGCAACCUUUAGGGGAGUUGUACUGAAAAGCAAAGGGAAAAGCAACCACGUUUUGAGGACUGUGUCCUGGGGUGAUGUUUCAGGGGUCCAUUAGGGCUCUGCUCAUCCCGUCCACCAAAACAGCACUCUGCAGUCACUGUGCCACUUGCAGUGCUUAUGGCCAGCAAGCUGUGUGUGGGGCUGAGUUUACUUUGCAGGGCAAACCCUUCCCCAGCACCACAAGGGUACCUACACUUGGUGGUAUGAGUGCCACUCCUGGAAAUGAAGCACCUCCCAGCUGAGAAAUGACACCGUGUGAAGCCUGGGUGGUCCUGUUGACUGAAAUCAUUAGGAUGUUAAUUGCACCCGCUCAAGUGUGAAAAAUUCUAUUUUGGAUGAGUGCCGCCGCCAGGAGUGCGGAGGAGGUGGAGGUGGCGGCAAUAGAUGAACCAAGCAUGAGGGCCGCUGCCACUGGUGUCAGAGCACUGUGGCUCAGCUGAGGCCUCCACCUGAACUGACCCAGCAGCUGAAGGAUGCAGGUGCUCACCUGUUUGUCCGUGUUGCCUCUUUAGUGUCAGCCUUGCUCCAGGACAGCGGAGGUGCCCUGUUGAGAAGGCUGACAGCUUUUCAGAUGUGGCUGCUGUAGCCCCACUGCUCUCCUCAGCUUGCUCCUCCCUGCGCCCACUCCCAGCAUGCUGUUGUUUUAUCUUUAAGCCCGGGGGUUGCUUUAAAAUUAUCUGUGAUGAAAACCUGGCUCCGGUAAAGUUAUUGGCAAAGCUCCCAUUGACUUCAGAGGAGCCAGGAUUUCACCCGAAGACACUUUGUAGAUGAGUGGUGAAUGGAAAGCAUACAUCUGGCUUCCCGAGGGUUAUUAUAGGUGGUGACGACCUCUGCUCUGGUGAGCGUUGAGCAAUGCUGGGUUGACAGUUGGCUAAAGCUUCUCCUGCCUCUUCCCUGGCUUUACUCUAUGGCUCUUCUUGGAUCCACUUAUCAAGGUGGAAUUCAAUGCCUGUUUGCCCAUACUGCCCUUCCCCCAGUGCCAGCAGAAAAAGAGAUAGGAGACAGAAUGGCUGAUGAGCUUCUAGCUCCAACCUCUAAGCUGGGAGCUACAAAUGCACACACAGCACAGGGGUCUUUAAAAAAACCCAAAAGCAAAUGGAAAAAGAAUAACAUUCCCCUGAUACCAGCAUCAGCCUUUCAUUGACAUGUGCUUCCUUUAUCUCAAUAAAUUACAACUGGAAGAGUAACACCAUCUUUUUACAAUGUCCCAUUAGCUCAACUUCCUUCAUACUCAGCCCACCAGCCGGACCUGGUGGCUGGGACAACGUUUCCCAAUUGUAUGAUAGACUGGAAAUGCAGUGGCCACUUUGUUAACAUUUGAAGUUGAAACGUGUAACAAGUAGAGUCUGAAAGAGAGAAGAUGGAAAUGGAGAAAACAGCGCAGCCCAGUUUCUUGCCUCUCUUAUUUUUAACACUGGAUCGUGUUUAUUUACUCUCUCCCACAUUUUCACUUUUCAGUAUGCUGUGUGUUUUGUACUGAUGAUGGACAGCUGCACCAUAGUGUUUGUCAGGGUGCAGUGGUACGUGGCUGUGGGAAUCAGCAUAAUGGGGAAACACUCUCCAAAAGUGCCCGAAGAGCCUAAAUUCUGCUGACUUGCACAGGUGCCCUCCACAGCAAGGUUACAACCAACCAACCAGCCAACCAACCAGAAACAAAGAGAUAAAUAGAGCAGUUUACACCUUCCACACCUAUGGUUUCCAGCCCCUUUAUUUCCCCAGGGAAAACAUCACAUUACUGGAUUGCAAUUGCCUUCUUGUUCAAGGUUGUUUUUUGACACUCUGGAAGUACUUAACAAAACCCAAAAGAAAGCAGAAAGCCGGCUGAGCUCUGGGGAAGGGGAGGGGAGGAUUUCACAACAAACAUGGUGCUGGUGGGUGAGACGAAGGGCUGUCUCCAUUGCAGGGAACCUCACAUAAGUAAAUAAAAAUCAGCUCAUUUCUUGUUGGCAUCAGAUGAUGUCACCUGGCUUAGCUGACUUAACACGAAAGGCAGAGGACUGUGCUGGAGCUAUGCUGUCAGGGCUGAAGGUCAUUGGUGAGGCUGUGCCUCCUGGGUAGCAGCUGCUACAAAGGUGGCAGAAAAAAAGGACCAAAAGGAGAGGUGUUUCACUGCUGUUCCCUUAUUUCUGAUGCUCUGGUGCUGAGCCCACUGGUACCCUAAUCAAGCACAGCGACAAACACUGUGAUCCCUGCAGAGCUGUCCGAAUGAUCUGCUGCUUUGGCAACAGUCUUUUAAAACUGGUAUGUUUGCUGAGAUGCAGGCAAAAAGCACUUACGUGAAGUGAAUCUUCCGUAGGGAUGGUGGCAAAGUACUUGGUGCAGUCGCACCUGUUAUGCAGCCAUGUGGCACACUGCAAGGAAACAGCAGGAGGAGGCUCACAGUUAUUGAUGCAGGUAAAGAAACCAGGCAAACUACACAUGCCCCUUUCUUGGUGUUCUUGAGUGGCUGUUCCUAAAAUCAUUUGUCCCAGACUACGGACAUUUGGAUUAGAUAUUCCUAACAGCAAUGGGGCACAGCAGGGCGGGUUUUGUGUCUCUGUUAGCACAGCUUUUAGCAGACUGAUGGCCAGGUUAGCAAUACCCCAGUACCAACAAUGGUAAUCAUAACAGCAAACAGUGGUAGAGAUCCUGUGCAAUAUCCCAGGCAAUAGAGGAUAAGAUUAAUUUGAAAAGUCUUUGCAAAGGAUGAUGAUAUUACAUUAAGUAAAGAGGGAGACAACAGACUACAGCUCAGCACAUGUUCGAGGCAGCUAUCCUGCACAGGAGAGGUUUGCUCCUCACCUAACCUGAAGACAGCAGCAUGAAUGGAACAGCAUGGAAAAAGCAAUACCUGGAGCUCCACCUUGCUGCCUGCAACAGUUAUUUGCUGCUAAGCAAGGACUGAGUUUUUCUGCUCUGUUUACUGGUAACAUCCUAUGGGAAUGAAAAUCAGCUUCAGGAGGUAGUGCAAACCUAUGGAAAUCCUCAAGGGAAAGAGGCUUCAGAGAGAAUGCAGCCUGGCCUUGAAUGCCUCCAGGGUGCUUUGUCCUUCUACUGCACCAGACAUAACCAGUGCCCCUUUUGUGCUGCAAUAUCCCUCCAUAGUUUGCAUGUUUCCAGUGCAUUUUCUCAUAUAUAGUCUUAAAAUGUGGGCUGACUGGGCUUGCUGUUUCUAUUGAAGCUGCUGGUGGUUUUUCUCCAGGUGAGUCCACCAGUCUAAGCAAAGGGCAGGGCAAUCACCUGGCCUCCUGCAGUUUUGCUUCAGAAUUGUCUCUUUGCAAGGUUAGAAAUGGGGAGGCUGUUUCUAGUACUAAAUCCACAGAGCAGGUGGUCGAUAAUAUCAUUAGCUUAACAAAACAGAAAGCUUGUGAUAGGUCCCACUAUAAAAUGAAAUUAUAUCCAAAAAUUGAGAAAAGCCAUCUAAGAUCAUCGCAUCCAACCUUCAACCCACCCCCCCCCCAUGCCCACUAACCACAUCCCUCAGUGCCACAUCUCCACAUUCCUUGAAUACCUCCUGGGAUGGUGACUUCCAGCACCGCCCCGAGCGGCCAGUGCCAAUGCCCGAUUGCUCUUUCUGUGAAGAAAUAAUACUCAACGUGAUAACCAACCCUACAAUCUUACUUGAUAACACAACAAAGAAAUGAAUUUCAGUGCAGGCAGGAUCAGACCCUUGUGCAUGAAGGCUCUCUCCACUGUAUAGGGAGACGCUAAAAAGAUUCUGUUUAAACAAGAAACAACUUGAAACAGAAUGAAGAAAUCUAAAGAGAGAGAGAGAAAAAAGCCAAUUAACCCUCUUUGACUUCUGGUGCUUAACCUCAAGCAGCUUUAUUUUUUAUCCCCCGGGGGGGUUCAUCUGUAAAAUGCUCCAGUUUACAAGUGGGUUUAACUACUACAUGCUGCUUUUCAACCCCAGGCAGACAGAGACAGAUCCAAUUGACACCUGCUUCAGACAACAAAUGGAACACAAAAGAUUAAACUCAUUUCAAAGGGUC